rnacentral:rRNA from 1 species
CCUACGGGAGGCUGCAGUGAGGAAUAUUGGUCAAUGGACGCAAGUCUGAACCAGCCAUGCCGCGUGCAGGAAGACGGCUCUAUGAGUUGUAAACUGCUUUUGUACGAGGGUAAACGCAGAUACGCGUAUCUGUCUGAAAGUAUCGUACGAAUAAGGAUCGGCUAACUCCGUGCCAGCAGCCGCGGUAAUACGGAGGAUUCAAGCGUUAUCCGGAUUUAUUGGGUUUAAAGGGUGCGUAGGCGGUCGGAUAAGUUAGAGGUGAAAUCCCGAGGCUCAACUUCGGAAUUGCCUCUGAUACUGUCUGACUAGAGUGUAGUUGCGGAAGGCGGAAUGUGUGGUGUAGCGGUGAAAUGCUUAGAUAUCACACAGAACACCGAUUGCGAAGGCAGCUUUCCAAGCUAUUACUGACGCUGAGGCACGAAAGCGUGGGGAGCGAACAGGAUUAGAUACCCGAGUAGUC